rnacentral:rRNA from 1 species
UAAUACGUAGGGUGCGAGCGUUAAUCGGAAUUACUGGGCGUAAAGCGUGCGCAGGCGGUUUUGUAAGCCAGAUGUGAAAGCCCCGGGCUUAACCUGGGAAUGGCAUUUGGGACUGCAAGGCUUGAGUGCGGCAGAGGAGACUGGAAUUCCUGGUGUAGCAGUGAAAUGCGUAGAUAUCAGGAGGAAUACCGAUGGCGAAGGCAGGUCUCUGGGCUGACACUGACGCUCAUGCACGAAAGCGUGGGGAGCAAACAGGAUUAGAUACCCUGGUAGUCCACGCCCUAAACGAUGUCAACUGGGUGUUGGGGAAGCGAUUCCUCAGUACCGUAGCUAACGCGUGAAGUUGACCGCCUGGGGAGUACGGCCGCAAGGUUA